AACGAACGCUGGCGGCAGGCCUAACACAUGCAAGUCGAACGCUCUAGCAAUAGAGAGUGGCAGACGGGUGAGUAACGCGUGGGAAACUUCCUAGGGGUACGGAAUAGCUCAGGGAAACUUGGGGUAAUACCGUAUGAUGCCGUAAGGCCAAAGAUUUAUCGCCCUUAGAUGUGCCCGCGUCGGAUUAGCUAGUUGGUGAGGUAAUGGCUCACCAAGGCGACGAUCCGUAGCUGGUUUGAGAGAAUGACCAGCCACACUGGGACUGAGACACGGCCCAGACUCCUACGGGAGGCAGCAGUGGGGAAUCUUGGACAAUGGGCGCAAGCCUGAUCCAGCCAUGCCGCGUGAGUGACGAAGGCCUUAGGGUUGUAAAGCUCUUUUGCCGGGGACGAUAAUGACGGUACCCGGAGAAUAAGUCCCGGCUAACUUCGUGCCAGCCGCCGCCGUAACAC
rnacentral:rRNA from 1 species